rnacentral:lncRNA from 1 species
AUUAAAGUGAGCCUCCCAAAGGAAAACGUGGAUCUACUUACCAACGCAGAAAAUGAUACACACGGAUUCGAUUUAGUCAUGUGCCUGGGAAAGAUUGAUGCCAGCUCCAGAAAGGCAUCCGAAUGGUCUAAGUAAUGCCAUCCAUCUGUCAGUAAUAGAUUCAGAAAUGGUGCUGGCAGAGGAAACAGCAGCAAUGAUGCUCUGCGAGCCUGACUCAGGGCCAGCAGUGAUGGCAGCCCAAGAAUUCUGGAGGAAAGUGGCUCUGGGAAUUGAACAGUGGCUCAGUGAUGUUGGGGCCACCAAGUCUGCAAUUCUCCCUACCUGUUCUUCAUGGUUGUAAGAUGACUGCUGCAAUUCUCGGCAUCAUGUGCAUGUUAAUGUCAGGAGGAAGAAAGGAAGAGGGAGCACUGGGAUGUUACAUUCAUUUUGUCAGGAAAAGCAAAGCCUUUCCAGACAGCUCCGAAACUUGCUUACCUCUCAUUGGCCAGCACCAUCACUUGACCACUUGUCCACUCCUAGCUGCAAGGAAAGUGGCAAAGUAGAAGGUAUUUGAGAAUGUCUGCUGGGUUAGCCAAAACAAUAGUGACUUCUACACCCAAUUUUCUGGGCACUGCAGAAGUAUCCUUGAGUCCUAUGUGAUCAGAGGGAGAGCAAACCUCAAUAAUGAAACAGAUUCAAUUUCCAUCACCCAGUGAGACACCAUGGGAUUAGAAUAAAUUUUUAAAAAAACAAAUUGAAAAAAAUGCAUUUUUAAAACAACAAAAUCAGAAAGGAUGAAAGGUGAUAUUUCUAGCAUAUCAGUUUGUGGUGGUAAAUUAAUUACCUUAUACAAAGGCCUCAGUGACUUUCUUCUCCUUACCUAACGAAUCAUCUUUAAAAUAAGUAAAAUAAAGAAACAAGAGCAGCAGCAGAUGCUUCCUAAAAAGAAGUUACCAAAUCUGUUCACCACAAACCUGAGAAUUCAACUGUGGACAUUUGGACACCAGCAAUGAACAUGAAACUCAGCUUAUGAGGCAUAUUUGGCUAAAGGUCAAGGUGACUUAAAGUUCAUCAUAGGACAUCUACAAUUUGCAAAGCAGGUGACUGGAUAUGGACUCCUUCCAAGUCUCAUUUAAUUGGAUAAUGCCUACGUUUUAAGUAUCAGAAGUGAGUCUUUCUCUAUUAAAUGAAGUCAGUUCCACUAAAACCUAAAUCUUGUUUGGCAGGCACUCCAUGUUUCUUAAUUUUUAUUCCAUGCUGUAUAUUCUUUUAGACUUGAUUUUCACUUUUUUUUCUUUUUUCCUGUACAUUUAUCUUUGCUGUGAAACAAAGUGCCCUGCUUUGAAGGACAGGUUUGUGGGCUGCUGGUGGUGAGACAACAGCAGUCCUUCCAAGUCUUCCUCCCAUCACUCUGUUAGCUCUCCCUUUGUUUUUAAUUAGCAUUACACCAGUUAAUUCUGUUAUCUCUUAACCCUGGUUCUGCAUCCUCUUCUUCUUUUCUAUUCCUUACUCCGCUCCUGUUUUUUCUUGUUCUGCUUUUCCAAGAAAUGUCUUGUCUCCUCAUCAGUUGACUGUCUUCUCUUUCCAGAGGGACCAUAAAGGUGCCAGCCUAAGGAACACGUAAAACGUGGGAACAGACAAACAAGCUGCUGCCUAUUACAGAGAUAGAUAAUUAACUUUGGACCAUUACAUGCAAUUCAUCAGCUUAUCUUUUUCAAACUUUAUAUAAGAAGUCAUUUCCCAAUGGUAACCACUUGCCAGCUGCAACUUUGACGCAUAUUAUCAGGAUAGGUGAGAUUGAUGGGGGCCCUUUGAACUCUUCCCAGGGAAUUAUCUUUAUAAUGUUACAGUUUUCUCUAUAGCAUGGUCAUAUUGUUAACAUUGGUUAUAAGGUCAUAUGGUUAGUAUGGUUAGUAUUGGUGGCUCACAGCUGUAAUACCAGCACUUUGGGAGGCCAAGGUGGGAGGAUCACUUGAGCCCUGGUGUUCAAAACCAGCUCUGGAAACAUAGCAAGACCUUGUCUCUACAAAAAAAAAUUAAAUAAAUUAAAAGAUUAGCUGGGCAUGGUGGCACAUGCCUGUAGUCCUCACUACUUGGGAAACUAAGGUGGGAGGAUCCUUUGAGCUUGGGAGGUUGAGGCUGCAGUGAGCUGUGGUUGUGCCAUGGCACUCCAGCCUGGGUGACAGAGUGAGAGCCUGUCUCAAAAAAAAAAAAAAAAAAAAAAAAAA